rnacentral:rRNA from 1 species
GAUGAACGCUGGCGGCGUGCCUAAUACAUGCAAGUCGAGCGAACAGACGAGGAGCUUGCUCCUCUGACGUUAGCGGCGGACGGGUGAGUAACACGUGGAUAACCUACCUAUAAGACUGGGAUAACUUUGGGAAACCGGAGCUAAUACCGGAUAAUAUAUUGAACCGCAUGGUUCAAUAGUGAAGGACGGUUUUGCUGUCACUUAUAGAUGGAUCCGCGCCGCAUUAGCUAGUUGGUAAGGUAACGGCUUACCAAGGCAACGAUGCGUAGCCGACCUGAGAGGGUGAUCGGCCACACUGGAACUGAGACACGGUCCAGACUCCUACGGGGGGCAGCAGUAGGGAAUCUUCCGCAAUGGGCGAAAGCUGGACGGAGCAACGCCGCGUGAGUGAUGAAGGUCUUCGGAUCGUAAAACUCUGUUAUUAGGGAAGAACAAAUGUGUAAGUAACUAUGCACGUCUUGACGGUACCUAAUCAGAAAGCCACGGCUAACUACG